rnacentral:rRNA from 1 species
UUCCAGACUCCUACGGGAGGCAGCAGUGAGGAAUAUUGGUCAAUGGGCGCGAGCCUGAACCAGCCAAGUCGCGUGAGGGAUGACGGUCCUACGGAUUGUAAACCUCUUUUGCCGGGGAGCAAGCGUGCGUUCGUGAACGCGCGUCGAGAGUACCCGGAGAAAAAGCAUCGGCUAACUCCGUGCCAGCAGCCGCGGUAAUACGGAGGAUGCGAGCGUUAUCCGGAUUUAUUGGGUUUAAAGGGAGCGUAGAUGGGUUGUUAAGUCAGUUGUGAAAGUUUGCGGCUCAACCGUAAAAUUGCAAUUGAUACUGGCAGCCUUGAGUACAGUUGAGGUAGGCGGAAUUCGUGGUGUAGCGGUGAAAUGCUUAGAUAUCACGAAGAACUCCGAUUGCGAAGGCAGCCUACUAAACUGCCACUGACAUUGAUGCUCGAAAGUGUGGGUAUCAAACAGGAUUAGAUACCCUCGUA